rnacentral:rRNA from 1 species
UUCGUAGGGUGCAAGCGUUAAUCGGAAUUACUGGGCGUAAAGCGUGCGCAGGCGGUUUUUCAAGACAGAUGUUAAAUCCCCGGGCUCAACCUGGGAACUGCAUUUGUGACUGCACGGCUAGAGUGUGUCAGAGGGGGGUAGAAUUCCACGUGUAGCAGUGAAAUGCGUAGAUAUGUGGAGGAAUACCGAUGGCGAAGGCAGCCCCCUGGGAUAACACUGACGCUCAUGCACGAAAGCGUGGGGAGCAAACAGG